rnacentral:rRNA from 1 species
UACGGGGGGGGCAAGCGUUGUUCGGAAUUACUGGGCGUAAAGGGCUCGUAGGCGGCCUACUAAGUCGGACGUGAAAUCCCUCGGCUCAACCGAGGAACUGCGCCCAAAACUACCGUGCUCGAGGGAGAUAGAGGUGAGCGGAACUUAGGGUGGAGCGGUGAAAUGCGUUGAUAUCCUAAGGAACACCGGCGGCGAAAGCGGCUCACUGGAUCUCUUCUGACGCUGAGGCACGAAAGCUAGGGUAGCGAACGGG